rnacentral:rRNA from 1 species
CCUACGGGCUGCAGCAGUGGGGAAUAUUGCACAAUGGGCGCAAGCCUGAUGCAGCCAUGCCGCGUGUAUGAAGAAGGCCUUAGGGUUGUAAAGUACUUUCAGUUGGGAGGAAGGCGUUGAUGCUAAUAUCAUCAACGAUUGACGUUACCAACAGAAGAAGCACCGGCCAACUCCGUGCCAGCAGCCGCGGUAAUACGGAGGGUGCAAGCGUUAAUCGGAAUUACUGGGCGUAAAGCGCACGCAGGCGGUUGACUAAGAUAGAUGUGAAAUCCCCGGGCUUAACCUGGGAAUGGCAUCUAAGACUGGUCAGCUAGAGUCUUGUAGAGGGGGGUAGAAUUCCAUGUGUAGCGGUGAAAUGCGUAGAGAUGUGGAGGAAUACCGGUGGCGGAGGCGGCCCCCUGGACAAAGACUGACGCUCAGGUGCGAGAGCGUGGGGAGCAAACAGGAUUAGAUACCCGAGUAGUC